CAAAGAGCUGGACUCGACUGAAGUGACUUAGCAUGCAUACUUCCUGCAUGGGUAACCUUAAGGGAACAGAGAGUAGGUUUCACGAUGGCAAUUACUUUUCAUGUCUAUAGUCAUCCAGAAUAUAUCCCAGAAGAUUUGGAGUGUGGAACACCAACUAAAUCCAGAGAGCCUCUGUGCUUGGAUUAGCUCCACUGGGCAUGAAACAAGUGUUUACUAGGUAUGUACAGUAUAUUACACACUGAACCUAACGCAGCGGUGAAGAGGAAAGGAGGGCACCUUCCAUUGAACUGACCAUGAGCUGACGUGGAACUGAAAGUUGAUCUGAACACCUUCCAUGGACAGAAAACAUUGACACCUACAAAGCUGGCAUUCAGUGAUGUUAUCAGCAAGGGUGAGCACAAAUGGACACAAUAUGAAGGUGAUGGAUGGUUGGCCAUUCAGAGAAAGGAGAAGAGUUUUUCUGUCCAGUCUUCCAGGGCUAAGAGUUUGGAUGGAAUGCCUACAGGAAUCUUGUCAAGUCUCUGUUCAUGAUGAGAGCUGAGCUGUCACAUACCCAGUGGAAAUCCUCUGGAUUUGUUGGUUUGUGGAUGAAGGAGAAUUUCCUCCCUUCAGCCAUUCCAGAGGGUUCAGUGGGAUUUGGAAUCUUGAGGUGUGUGCUAGUCAUGACUUGAAUCACCAGGAAGAACUCUGCUUAUUCUUUCUUCCUUCUUCCUUUUUUGCCUUCUCUUCAUCACACUGUGGCUCGAGGCUUUCUCAAAGACCUGCUCUGAUGUCAGAAUCUAUUGUACUUGAUCUUUCUCAAUGUUUUCUUUUCUGUUUUUACUGGUUGGAUCACAUUCAGCUCUGAUCUCUCACCAACCAGAAAUUCCUAUUCUUUUGACUCAUUCAUUUCCUUUACCAGGAAAUAUCAGGAUGAACCAUUACAUUAUCAGGCCUAAUCCUUAUAUGAUUUUCUGUUUUCUUUUCAUCUGACCUUUAAGGUGCUCUCAGCUAUGUUUUAGAUUUACAAGGCAUGUUUAAAAUCUGUUCCCAAUGCAAGAUGAUAUUUUAUCUAUAUAUUAGUAAAAUCUUUUCAGUCAUAUCAUAACAGUAUUUUUGAGGGCUCAGCAUUUUGUAGUUAUCCAGAAAUCUGUAAUUCUUUUUUUUUCCCUUUUUCACUAUUGAAAAAUGACUUUAUUUUUGGGAUUUACUUUAAGCAAGCAGAUAUUAUCAAGACUAGCAAAAUGUUGGUAACUAAGUCAUGACUAUGUGGGGGUUGAUAUCCUUGACUUUUAUGAUGUGUUUUAAAAUGUCUGUAAUAGAAACCUGGGAUAAUGAAAUGGUGGGAAAAAGUAAUAAGCCUUAAAAAAAACAGUCUUCAAUAAACAGUUGAAUGUCCCAUACAACUUGACAUUAA